AUGAAUCAGCCAAAUUUCCCCCUCUCGGCUCCCAUUUCCCGCGACAGAGGCGGCGCCGGUCGCCCACGAACCACGGCGGCGCGGCAGGCCGUUUGCCGGCGCACGCCUGCGUGCACGUCGCGCGCGGAUCCGUCGAUCUCGCAAGCCUGCGUCACUUGCGUGGCCGAGGUCGGCUGCCGCUGCACGCCGGCGAGCCGGCCACCAGGACGCGCCGGCGAGCCGGCCACCAGGACGCGCCGGCGACGACGCAGGCCAUGGAGGGCUUUGGCUGCCAUCGUCCUCCACGUGCAGAUCGCGCCACGGGGUCCCCCCCGUCCCGGCGUCCUCCACGAGGCCGUUCCGCCGCGGCAGUACUCGGACGUGCUGCGUCUGGCGGUCUCCUCCCACGAUCUCGCUGGGAACAAGUCCGCCCCCGUGUGGCCGACCUGAGCCCACAAGAAUCGACACUGCUAUGUGGUGGAUGUACGGCGGCUCCCGACCUUUGCGCUGGAGGAUGGGAAGACGAUGCACGCGUUCUACUUCUAUAUACUUACCCUGUUGUGCCUCAAGUUCGAGUGCUCGAGUGGCUGUGAGAUACGGGGAAACUUGAAGAAGAUGUUGGCCAAGGCUGAAUCCAAACUCUCAGCUGCCGUAUAUGCUUUUGGCGUUAUGGCGGGUGCUGUACACAACGGUUUCGGCCUCAGCUUGUGGCUUUUGUGGUGACGACAUCGUUCUUCUUCGGCUACAACCAUAGUGGCAUCAUCAAGCACGCCACCAUGCAGAUCAUCUGCUGGGAAACUUGAAGAAGCUGUUGGCUAAGGCUGAAUCCGAACUCAGCAACCGUGUAUGUUCUGGCGUUAUGAUGGUGCUGUAUACAACAGUGUCCGCCUCAAGUGGUUACUGUUGUGGUGACGACAGUGUUCUUCUUUUGUUACAACCAUACUGCCUAGCACCAGGAUGAUGACUUGAAGGAUUUGAUUUGCAUCACUCAGUCCUCACAAGCAUGUAGUGCAACUUUUCCAUAUGAUAAACUAUAAUUUUGUCUGGCUGGAUGAGAUAAUCAAGUUUGGAUGGAUCUCUAAGCCAUACAAUGGGUAUUGGUGUCUGCUUUGAGCAAACAAUAAAGGGCGAAGAUUUAGUAAUGUGAUCCUUACUUCCCACCUCAGGGGAUGGCGAGUCGCCGGCGAGGACGACAUGGCCAGGGCCAUGUGCUGUGUCUAAUCUUUGUCUGAUUUAGUCGGGCGUCCAUCUCUGGACUGUUGCGCGGCUGCUUGUUUGUCAUCCGGUGAGACCUCUCAUCAUCAAACACACCAUGCAGAUCAUCCGCCUUGCAGGGACGGCGAGUCCGCCCACGAGGAUGACAUGUCCAGGGUAUGUUCCGUGGCUCAUCUUUGGCUGGUUCAGUCUGGCGUCCAUGUGGGGGAUGUUGUGCUGCUGCUGCUUGUUCGUGUAUUUGAAACAUUGUUUUGAAUGGUUGUAAUAUAGAGAUGCUGAGAAAGCUUACCACAAAGCUGUGUAUGUGCUGCGCGUGCUGUCAGUUGAAUGUAUCCUUUUGUCGACGUGGCCAUGCCGUGUGGUUUGGUCUGGCUGUCUCGACAGCAGCAGCUGGUGCGUCUUUGUAUUUGAAAAAAAAUGCUUCAGUUGGUGUAAUAUUGGUGUAUUGUAAUGCUCCGGUCGAUAAGCUAUGUGAAAAAAAUGCGCUU